AUGCUCUGGCUUCUCUUCAUAACGAAUAAAUCUUUCGCCUUUUACUAAACAUUUCCAUGGAGAGGAACAAUUAUGAGUUUAUAACUAAAUUUUUUGAUGUCAUGCUUAGGCAGGGCU
ensembl:snRNA U5 U5 spliceosomal RNA